UCUCUCUCUCUCUCUCUCUCUCUCUCUCUCUCUCUCGUUCCUAGUACAAUUUUUUCAUUUGAUCUGAAACAAACUUCCACGGGGGUUUUCUAUCUAACAAUCAAGAUUCCACAAGCAAUCACAAAUGUGCAUCUCAUCUCAUAUCACUCCUACUAGCAACACUCUCCCAUCCCAACCUCUUCAAAUUGCAUUCAGAUCCCGAUGAUGACUCCCUCCCCUCCGACUAUUACCGUACUCUGAUUUCUCCUUUAGUGAUUGUGGAUCGAUGACAUCAACCAUAGGAAGGAAUCGGGUAAGAAGCAAGUGACGCCUGAAAAGCCACCAACAAAAUUGACCGGUGAAGAAAAUGGUGGAAAUCGAUAACUUCCACUACAUCCCACCGUACCCUCAUCCCUCUUUCUCUUAUCUAUCCGAGUCAAACGGAUAAGGAAUUAUCAAUUGGGGCAAGACCAGCAAUGUGAGAUUCCAUAAACCAGGACACGGGUAUUUCUUGUAUUUAGGGCAAAAAAUACACCGACUUUACAUGCCCAAAUUUGUUGUCCCUAAAAUCAGCAAGAUGAGAAUCAUUACUCGGAUUCAGUAUAUCGAUUGUUGAUGGUGUAUAUUUGGUGUUUUGUUUUAGUUAAUGGUUUGCUUCUCAUGAAACUCUUGAACGAAGUGGAAGACAUGUGUGAUUAUUCAAGUUCAUCAUAGAAGUUGUUUUCUUCCGUCUUUGUUGCUGAAAAGCUCAUGAGAUUAAGAUAUGAGAGAUGAUAUUCAUCAAAGAAUGUAUUUUGUAGGUUUAGUGUCAAACGAGUUUCAUCUUCUGUGGUUUGGAUGUGUAUUGUUUUCAGGUUUGAUAGCUUGAUUUUAUAUGUGGUUUUGACCAAUGAUUUCAAGUGUUUUAUUUGGUGUAAGUGGUAAUCGAUGGGGUGGUAGUGGUAAUCAAAAGUGAAGGGCAAUGUUGAUGGUGAUUGACGGAGGUGAAGGAUAACAGUGACUAUGGUGGUUGGUGGAUCUCUAACUAGGGGAAAGAGAGAGAGAGAGAGAGAGAGAGAUAGAGAGAGAGAGAAAGUAUGUGUGUGUGCGAGGUUGGCCCAAUGAAUUAUUUAUUUUGUUUUUCUAUUUUUUAAAUAGGAUUAGGUAAAAUUAAUUGUAACAACCAAAAAUACGACCCAAAUUUUUUUGUUUUAAUAAUAAUAAAAUCAUAAACUAAUCGUGAUAUCAUGAAA